AUGAUUCUGCCAGCGGGUACUGUAGUGGGUACUGUAGUGGGUACUGUAGCAGGUACUCUAUUGGGUACUGUAGCGGGUACGGUAGCGGGUAAUCUAUUGGGUACUGUAGUGGGUACUGUAGCAGGUACUCUAUUGGGUACUAUAGCGGGUACUCUGUUGGGUACUGUAGUGGGCACUGUAGUGGACACUGUAGUGGGCACUGUAGUGGGUACUGUAGCGGGUACUCUAUUGAGUACUGUAGCAGGUACUGCGGUGGGUACUGUAGCGGGUACUCUAUUGGGUACUGUAGCAGGCACUGUAGUGGGUGCUCUAUUGGGUACUGUAGUGGGUACUGUAGUGAGUACUCUAUUGGGUAUUGUAGUGGGUACUGUAGUGGGUACUGUAGCGGGUACUGUAGUGGGUACUGUAGCGGGUACUCUAUUGGGUACUGUAGCGGGUACUCUAUUGGGUACUGUAGCGGGUAACCUAUUGGGUACUGUAGUGGGUACUGUAGCGGGUACUGUAGCGGGUACUGUAGCGGGUACUCUAUUGAGUACUGUAGCGGGUACUCUAUUGGGUACUGUAGUGGGCACUGUAGUGGACACUGUAGUGGGCACUGUAGUGGGCACUGUAGUGGGUACUGUAGCAGGUACUCUAUUGAGUACUGUAGCAGGUACUGCGGUGGGUACUGUAGCGGGUACUCUAUUGGGUACUGUAGCAGGCACUGUAGUGGGUGCUCUAUUGGGUACUGUAGUGGGUACUGUAGUGGGUACUCUAUUGGGUAUUGUAGUGGGUACUCUAUUGGGUACUGUAGCGGGUACUGUAGCGGGUACUGUAGUGGGUACUCUAUUGGGUACUGUAGCGGGUACUGUAGCGGGUACUGUAGUGGGUACUUUAUUGGGUACUGUAGCGGGUACUGUAGUGGGUACUCUAGCGGGUACUGUAAUGGGUACUGUAGCGGGUACUGUAGCAUGUACUCUAUUGGGUACUGUGGUUGAUACUGUAGCGGGUACUCUAUUGGGUACUGUAGCGGGUACUGUAGUGGGUACUCUAGCGGGUACUGUAAUGGGUACUGUAGCGGGUACUGUAGUGGGUACUCUAGCGAGUACUGUAGCAUGUACUCUAUUGGGUACUGUGGUAGAUACUGUAGCGGGUACUCUAUUGGGUACUGUAGUGGGUACUGUAGUGGAUACUGUAGUCCUUAUUCCAGCCUCCCUCAAUGUCACCCUCUCCACAGGGACACUGGCUCAGAGGUCCUGCAGGCAUAAAUUCCCAUUCAAGUGGCAAUUAAAAUUGAGAAAUUCAGUUGAUCAGCUUUUAUUACUUUGUAAUACGGAAACAACGUGA
rnacentral:lncRNA from 1 species